UCCUCCGUUAGGGUUAGGUCUCUCCUCUCCUCCGUUAGGGUUAGGUCUCUCCUCUCCUCCGUUAGGGUUAGGUCUCUCCUCUCCUCCGUUAGGGUUAGGUCUCUCCUCUCCUCCGUCAGGGUUAGGUCUCUCCUCUCCUCCGUUAGGGUUAGGUCUCUCCUCUCCUCCGUCAGGGUUAGGUCUCUCCUCUCCUCCGUCAGGGUUAGGUCUCUCCUCUCCUCCGUUAGGGUUAGGUCUCUCCUCUCCUCCGUC